UACGUAGGGUGCAAGCGUUGUCCGGAAUUAUUGGGCGUAAAGAGCUCGUAGGCGGUCUGUCGCGUCGGCUGUGAAAACCCGGAGCUCAACUCCGGGCCUGCAGUCGAUACGGGCAAACUGGAGUGUUGCAGGGGAGACUGGAAUUCCUGGUGUAGCGGUGAAAUGCGCAGAUAUCAGGAGGAACACCGGUGGCGAAGGCGGGUCUCGUGGGCCGAACA
rnacentral:rRNA from 1 species